rnacentral:rRNA from 1 species
UUUUUUAAUUAAUUAAAAGUUUUAUGACUAUUCAUAGAAUAUAUAUAUAUAUAUAUAUAUAUAAUUUUUUUGAGCAACUGAGAAGGAAAAUUAAGACAAAAAAAAAAGUAUUUUUUAUUACCUUUUGCAUAAGGGAUUUUUUAAAAAAAUUAAAAUUUUAAAUUUCUAGAAACAAAUUGAUCUAAAAUAUAAAGAAUUUGUAUAUUUCAUUAUAUAUUAAAAUAUUUUUUAGAUGUGAAAUGCUUGUCAAAAUUUGAGAUAACUAGUUUUAAUAAAUUAAUUUAAUAUUAUUCUAUAAAUAAUAUAUUAUUAAAUAAAAUUAUAGAUAAAUAAUUUUAGGAUAAGCUAAAAUAAUAAAUUUUUAAAAUUUUUAAAAAAUAAGAUUAAAGGAAUAAAAUUAUCCUCUAUAUUAUAAUUAAUAAAUUGCAGUUUUUAUGAAAAUUAAUAUUUUUUAUUAAAAUUAUUUAAUUUUUAUUAUUUUUAAAUAUGAAAAUAUUAGUAAAAGAAUAAAUUUAUUAUUAUAUUUAAUAAAAAUUAAAUAAUUAAAAAUAAAUUUAAAUAAUUCGGCAAUUUAAUUCUCUGACUGUUUAAUAAAAACAACUCAUUUAGAAAAAUUGAUUAAAUGUAAAUCCUGCUCAAUGAAAAAUUAAAUUGCUGUAGUAUUUUGACUAUACAAAGGUAUUGAAAUAAGAUUUUAAUUGAAUGCUAAGAGAAUGGAAUUUCAGGGAAAAACUUUUUUAAUUUUAAAAAUUAAAGUUAUUUUAAUUUGUGAAGAAACAAUUAUAAAAAUUAAGGACAAGAAGACCCUAAGAAUUUUAAAAUAUAUGAAACAAUAAAAUUUGUUUCAUAUAUUUUUAGUUGGGGCAACUAAAAAAUAUAUUUAACUUUUUUUAAAUAAAAUGACCCAUUAUUAAUGAUUUUAUGAUAAAAUACUCUAGGGAUAACAGCGUAAUAAUUUUAGAUAGAUCAUAUAGACAAAAUAGUUUGCGACCUCGAUGUUGGAUUAGGAUACUUGUUUAAUGAAGAUGUUAAAAAAAAGGAGUUUGUUCAACUUUUGAAUUCCUACAUGAUCUGAGUUUAGACCGAUGAGAAUCAGGUUGGUUUCUACCCUAAUUUUAACAAUUUUUUGGUUAGUACGAAAGGAAUUCUAAAAAUUAAAUUUUUAAUAAAUCAGCUUUAUUUGCAUCAAUUUUUGGAAUU